GGCAGCAUAUGAAGCGGGUGCACGCGCACCGUGUGAUCAUAUAGCACCCAAUUCAGCAGCUGGUUGCAGCAGAGAACAUUUAACAAACAGACCGACAUACCGGACCGAACCUUACCGAACAUGAUGGAGUGGCAACCAAUGGAGAUCAACCCGGAGAUGCUGAACAAGGUGUGUGUAUAAUAUAUCGCCGAGUCAUACCAGAUAUGAUGACAGUAUUCAUGUCCAGUUGUAUAUGACGUUAUAACCAGACAACAGGACAUUAUAAUCUACAGGUGCUCAGUGGGCUGG